AACGAACGCUGGCGGCAUGCCUAACACAUGCAAGUCGAACGAGACCUUCGGGUCUAGUGGCGCACGGGUGCGUAACGCGUGGGAACCUGCCCUUAGGUUCGGAAUAACUCCCCGAAAGGGGUGCUAAUACCGGAUAAUGUCUUCGGACCAAAGAUUUAUCGCCUUUGGAUGGGCCCGCGUUGGAUUAGCUAGUUGGUAGGGUAAAAGCCUACCAAGGCGACGAUCCAUAGCUGGUCUGAGAGGAUGAUCAGCCACACUGGGACUGAGACACGGCCCAGACCCCCACGGGGGGCAGGAGGGGGGAAUAUUGGAACAGGGGGGAAAGCCUUGUCCAACAAUGCCCGAAGGGGGAUGAAGGCCUUAGGGUUUUAAAGCUUUUUUACCCGGGAUGAAAAUGACCGUACCGGGAGAAAAAGCCCCGGCUAACCCCG
rnacentral:rRNA from 1 species